rnacentral:rRNA from 1 species
GACGAACGCUGGCGGCGUGCCUAAUACAUGCAAGUCGAACGCUGAAGAGAGGAGCUUGCUCUUCUUGGAUGAGUUGCGAACGGGUGAGUAACGCGUAGGUAACCUGCCUUGUAGCGGGGGAUAACUAUUGGAAACGAUAGCUAAUACCGCAUAACAAUAGGUGACACAUGUCAUUUAUUUGAAAGGGGCAAUUGCUCCACUACAAGAUGGACCUGCGUUGUAUUAGCUAGUAGGUGAGGUAACGGCUCACCUAGGCGACGAUACAUAGCCGACCUGAGAGGGUGAUCGGCCACACUGGGACUGAGACACGGCCCAGACUCCUACGGGAGGCAGCAGUAGGGAAUCUUCGGCAAUGGGGGCAACCCUGACCGGGCAACGCCGCGGGAGUGAAGAAGGGUUUCGGAUCGUAAAGCUCUGUUGUAAGUCAAGAACGAGUGUGAGAGUGGAAAGUUCACACUGUGACGGUAGCUUACCAGAAAGAGACGGCUAACUACGUG